rnacentral:rRNA from 1 species
UACGUAGGGUGCAAGCGUUAAUCGGAAUUACUGGGCGUAAAGCGUGCGCAGGCGGUUGUGCAAGACAGGUGUGAAAUCCCCGGGCUUAACCUGGGAACUGCACUUGUGACUGCACGGCUGGAGUACGGCAGAGGGGGAUGGAAUUCCGCGUGUAGCAGUGAAAUGCGUAGAUAUGCGGAGGAACACCAAUGGCGAAAGCAGGUGACUGGACUCGUAUUGACACUCAUCCACGAAAGCUAGGGGAGCAAACAGG